AUUGAACGCUGGCGGCAGGCUUAACACAUGCAAGUCGAGCGGGGGAAGGUAGCUUGCUACCGGACCUAGCGGCGGACGGGUGAGUAAUGCUUAGGAAUCUGCCUAUUAGUGGGGGACAACAUCUCGAAAGGGAUGCUAAUACCGCAUACGUCCUACGGGAGAAAGCAGGGGAUCUUCGGACCUUGCGCUAAUAUAUGAGCCUAAGUCAGAUUAGCUGGUUGGUGGGGUAAAGGCCUACCAAGGCGACGAUCUGUAGCGGGUCUGAGAGGAUGAUCCGCCAAACUGGGACUGAGACACGGCCCAGACUCCUACGGGAGGCAGCAGUGGGGAAUAUUUGACAAUGGGGGGAACCCUGAUCCAGCCAUGCCGCGUGUGUGAAGAAGGCCUUAUGGUUGUAAAGCACUUUAAGCGAGGAGGAGGCUACUUUAGUUAAUACCUAGAGAUAGUGGACGUUACUCGCAGAAUAAGCACCGGCUAACUCUGUGCCAGCCGCCGCCGUAA
rnacentral:rRNA from 1 species